rnacentral:rRNA from 1 species
GGAGAAAAGCAGGGGAUCGCAAGACCUCUCACUAUUGGAGCGGCCGAUGUCUGAUUAGCUAGUUGGUGAGGUAAAAGCUCACCAAGGCGACGAUCAGUAGCUGGUUUGAGAGAACGACCAGCCACACUGGGACUGAGACACGGCCCAGACUCCUACGGGAGGCAGCAGUGGGGAAUUUUAGACAAUGGGGGCAACCCUGAUCCAGCCAUGCCGCGUGCGGGAAGAAGGCCUUCGGGUUGUAAACCGCUUUUGUCAGGGAAGAAAUCGAACUUUCUAAUACAAGGUUUGGAUGACGGUACCUGGAGAAUAAGCACCGGCUAACUACGUGCCAGCAGCCGCGUUAGGGCGUAGGGUGCAAGCGUUAAUCGGAAUUACUGGGCGUAAAGCGUGCGCAGGCGGUUCCGCAAGUCAUUUGAGGAAGCCCCGGGCUCAACCUGGGAAUUGCGUUUCUUUAAUGGGGCUAGAAGGGC